rnacentral:rRNA from 1 species
GUGCAGCAGGCGCGAAAACUCCGCAAUGCCCGAAAGGGUGACGGGGGAUUCCAAGUGCCUACGCUUAGCGUAGGCUGUUCAGGUGCCUAAAAAGCACCUGGAGGAAGGGCUGGGUAAGACGGGUGCCAGCCGCCGCGGUAAUACCCGCAGCCCGAGUGGUAGUCGCUUUUAUUGGGCCUAAAGCGUCCGUAGCCGGUCUGGUAAAUGCCUGGGUAAAUCGUGGGGCUUAACCUCACGAAUUCCGGGUAGACUGCCAGACUUGGGGACCGGUUGAGGGAGAGGGGUACUCCAGGGGUAGGGGUGAAAUCAGCAAGGUAAGCUGAUGUAACUUGCCUUGCAAGUCACAAUCCUGUAAUCCUUGGAGGACCACCGGUGGCGAAAGCGCUCGUCCUAGGACGGGUCCGACGGUGAGGGACGAAAGCCAGGGGAGCAAACCGGAUUAGAUACCCCCGGUAGU